rnacentral:rRNA from 1 species
GACAGAGGUGCCGAGCGUUAGGCGGAAUCACUGGGCUUAAAGCGUGUGUAGGCGGGUCCGUAAGGACCUUGUGAAAUCCCACGGCUCAACCGUGGAACUGCUCGGUAUACUGCGGGUCUUGAGCUGUCUAGGGGCGACCGGAACAAGCGGUGGAGCGGUGAAAUGCGUAGAUAUCGGAAGGAACACCAGUGGCGAAAGCGGCUUCCUGGUCCAGCACCGACGUUCAGGCACGAAAGCGUGGGGAGCAAACAGG